AGCGAUUCUCUUCGGAGAAGAGCGGCGGACGGGUGAGUAACGCGUGGGUAACCUGCCCUGUACACACGGAUAACAUACCGAAAGGUAUGCUAAUACGGGAUAAUAUGCUUUAGUCGCAUGGCUGAAGUAUCAAAGCUCCGGCGGUACAGGAUGGACCCGCGUCUGAUUAGCUAGUUGGUAAGGUAACGGCUUACCAAGGCGACGAUCAGUAGCCGACCUGAGAGGGUGAUCGGCCACAUUGGAACUGAGACACGGUCCAAACUCCUACGGGAGGCAGCAGUGGGGAAUAUUGCACAAUGGGCGAAAGCCUGAUGCAGCAACGCCGCGUGAGCGAUGAAGGCCUUCGGGUCGUAAAGCUCUGUCCUCAAGGAAGAUAAUGACGGUACUUGAGGAGGAAGCCCCGGCUAACUACAUGCCAGCAGCCGCGGUAAUACGUAGGGGGCUAGCGUUAUCCGGAAUUACUGGGCGUAAAGGGUGCGUAGGUGGUUUUUCAAGUCAGGAGUGAAAGGCUACGGCUCAACCGUAGUAAGCUCUUGAAACUGUAAAACUUGAGUGCAGGAGAGGAGAGUGGAAUUCCUAGUGUAGCGGUGAAAUGCGUAGAUAUUAGGAGGAACACCAGUUGCGAAGGCGGCUCUCUGGACUGUAACUGACACUGAGGCACGAAAGCGUGGGGAGCAAACAGGAUUAGAUACCCUGGUAGUCCACGCCGUAAACGAUGAGUACUAGCUGUCGGAGGUUACCCCCUUCGGUGGCGCAGCUAACGCAUUAAGUACUCCGCCUGGGAAGUACGCCCGCAAGAGU
rnacentral:rRNA from 1 species